GAUGAACGCUGACAGAAUGCUUAACACAUGCAAGUCAACUUGAAUUUGGGUUUUUUAACUUAGAUUUGGGUGGCGGACGGGUGAGUAACGCGUAAAGAACUUGCCUCACAGCUAGGGACAACAUUUGGAAACGAAUGCUAAUACCUGAUAUUAUGAUUAUAAGGCAUCUUAGAAUUAUGAAAGCUAUAUGCGCUGUGAGAGAGCUUUGCGUCCCAUUAGCUAGUUGGAGAGGUAACGGCUCACCAAGGCGAUGAUGGGUAGCCGGCCUGAGAGGGUGAACGGCCACAAGGGGACUGAGACACGGCCCUUACUCCUACGGGAGGCAGCAGUGGGGAAUAUUGGACAAUGGACCAAGAGUCUGAUCCAGCAAUUCUGUGUGCACGAUGACGUUUUUCGGAAUGUAAGGUGCUUUCAGUUGGGAAGAAAAAAAUGACGGUACCAACAGAAGAAGUGACGGCUAAAUACGUG
rnacentral:rRNA from 1 species